rnacentral:rRNA from 1 species
UGGGGAAUAUUGCACAAUGGAGGGAACUCUGAUGCAGCGACGCCGCGUGAACGAAGAAGGCUUUCGAGUCGUAAAGUUCUUUUAUAUGGGAAGAUAAUGACGGUACCAUAAGAAAAAGCCCCGGCUAACUACGUGCCAGCAGCCGCGGUAAUACGUAGGGGGCUAGCGUUGUCCGGAAUCACUGGGCGUAAAGGGUUCGCAGGCGGAAAUGCAAGUCAGGUGUAAAAGCAGUAGCUUAACUACUGUAAGCAUUUGAAACUGCAAAUCUUGAGAAGAGUAGAGGUAAGUGGAAUUUUUAGUGUAGCGGUGAAAUGCGUAGAUAUUAAAAAGAAUACCGGUGGCGAAGGCGGCUUACUGGGCUCAUUCUGACGCUGAGGAACGAAAGCGUGGGUAGCAAACAGG